rnacentral:rRNA from 1 species
AUAAACACAUGUCCACAACAAAUGCACCACAAUCCUCCAAGAGGAUGAGCAAUCUAUUGGAAUCAGAGUAGUGAUUCCUUUUAUGGAUGGCAGCGAUAUGACGUAGUAGGGAAGGAGAAACCCCUUUAUGGCUGCAUCAAGAUCGUCUGUAGUUUUCGUUAAAGACCGCGGCAACGGCCCCUCCUAGAAGUUGUAGUUGGUCCAUGGAUUAAAGAACUACCGCUCUACCUUAACGAUACAGCACAUGUUUCCCUUCCAAGGCCCCCACAUGUUGCUCACCGUACUCACAGUCCGCGUUCACUUACCCAAGUGCCCGUGGUCGGUAUUUCCGAAGUUUUCGUCUGUUCUUCCUCUUCGAUCAAUGAACUCCAAGUGCGAUCGCGCUCUCUCCCGAGCAUUGGCGGUGGAGUACAUGACGUAUCAAGGCGAGAGUGAGUAUCACUAUCGAGAAGAACGCAUAUGGAAACAAAUCUACCUACUGCAACAACAUCAACGUUCAUAAGCUCUGAACGUACAUAGCGAUAAAAGCUCUACUACUGUUCUAUGGUGAAACAUAACCUACUACUAAUACUACUCUGAUAAACAUACAUAUACGAUACUAAUGUAAACACCAGAGC